CCUACGGGUGGCAGCAGUGAGGAAUAUUGGUCAAUGGGCGGAAGCCUGAACCAGCCAAGUCGCGUGAGGGAUUAAGGCCCUACGGGUUGUAAACCUCUUUUGCCGGGGAGCAAGGGCGGGGACGUGUCCCGGCACGGAGAGUACCCGGAGAAAAAGCAUCGGCUAACUCCGUGCCAGCAGCCGCGGUAAUACGGAGGAUGCGAGCGUUAUCCGGAUUUAUUGGGUUUAAAGGGUGCGUAGGCGGGCGGUUAAGUCAGCGGUAAAAUUUCGGGGCUCAACACCGUCCGGCCGUUGAAACUGGUGGCCUUGAGUGGGCGAGAAGAAGGCGGAAUGCGUGGUGUAGCGGUGAAAUGCAUAGAUAUCACGCAGAACCCCGAUUGCGAAGGCAGCAUUCCGGCGCCCUACUGACGCUGAGGCACGAAAGUGCGGGGAUCGAACAGGAUUAGAUACCCGGGUAGUC
rnacentral:rRNA from 1 species